rnacentral:rRNA from 1 species
AUUGAACGCUGGCGGCAGGCCUAACACAUGCAAGUCGAGCGAGCGGCGCAAGGGUGAGUACCACGUAUCCACCCUGCCCUUUACUCGGGGGUAGCCUUUCGAAAGAUAGAUUAAUACCCGAUGUAAAGGCUGGGGAUGCGUUCCAUUAGGGGGUUGGUAAGGUAACGGCUGACCAAGCCUUCGAUGGAUAGGUGUUCUGAGAGGAAGGUCCACCACAUUGGAACUGAGGCACAGUCCAAUCUCCUACGGUAGGGAGCAGUGAGGAAUAGUGGUCAAUGGGCGUUAGCCUGAACCAGCCAAGUAUCGUGAAGGAUGAAGGCUUAUGGGUCGUAAACUUCUUGUAUAUAAGAAUAUGUAUUAUAUGAAUAAGGAUCGGCUAACUCCGUGCCAGCAGCCGCGGUAAUAC